rnacentral:rRNA from 1 species
UACAGAGGUGGCUAGCGUUGUUCGGAAUUACUGGGCGUAAAGGGCGCGUAGGCGGCUUGGUCAGUCCCGUGUGAAAUCCCUCGGCUCAACUGAGGAACUGCACGGGAAACUGCCUGGCUUGAGUUCGGGAGAGGGAAGCGGAAUUCCGGGUGUAGCGGUGAAAUGCGUAGAUAUCUGGAGGAACACCGGUGGCGAAGGCGGCAUCCUGGACCGACACUGACACUGAGGAGCGAAAGCCAGGGGAGCAAACGGG